rnacentral:rRNA from 1 species
AUUGAACGCUGGCGGCAGGCCUAACACAUGCAAGUCGAGCGGAUGAAGGGAGCUUGCUCCUGGAUUCAGCGGCGGACGGGUGAGUAAUGCCUAGGAAUCUGCCUGGUCUUGGGGGAUAACGUCCGGAAACGGGCGCUAAUACCGCAUACGUCAUGAGGUAGAAAGUGGGGGAUCUUCGGACCUCACGCUAUCAGAUGAGACUAGGUCGCAUUAGCUAGUUGGUGGGGUAAAGGCCUACCAAGGCGACGAUCCGUAACUGGGCUGAGAGGAUGAUCAGUCACACUGGAACUGAGACACGGUCCAGACUCCUACGGGAGGCAGCAGUGGGGAAUAUUCGACAAUGGGCGAAAGCCUGAUCCAGCCAUGCCGCGUGUGUGAAGAAGGUCUUCGGAUUGUAAAGCACUUUUAGUUGGGAGGAAGGGAAGUAAGUUAAUAUCUUGCUGUCUUGACGUUACCAACAGAAUAAGCCCCGGCUAACUUCGUG